rnacentral:tRNA from 1 species
GCACUGGUGGUUCAGUGGCAGAAUUCUUGCCUGCCAUGCAGGAGACCCAAGUUUGAUUCCUGGCCAAUGCG